AAGACUCUCGGUGUACUGUGGGAAUCAACGAGCGAUGUUUUUACUUUCCGGGUCCAACCACCCAAUGUGGAUAUGAAGUUGACCAAAAGAAACGUUCUCAGCACUAUAGCGACUAUCUUUGACCCACUGCAGUUCUUGGCCCCCUUCACCCUACGUGCUAAGAUUUUGAUGCAGGAAAUCUGGAUAGCUGGAAUCGGUUGGGACGAUCUCCUUACAGACGAGUUGAUUUUCAAGUGGAAAAAAUGGGUCUCGGAACUACGUGAAUUAUCGCAGGUCACUAUUCCUCUAAGUCUUCGCCUACCCAGUCCUUCUCAAAGUCGAUUACACGUAUUUUCAGACGCAUCAAAAGAAGCUUAUGCUACGGUAGCCUACUUAGUUUGUCGAUAUUCUGACGAGAGCAGUACCUCGAGAAUUGUUGCGUCGAAAAGUAGAGUGGCACCAACAAAAGUAGUGACGAUACCACGGCUAGAGCUCAUGGGUGCAAUUCUUUCCACUCGACUGGCAAAGAACAUUAGCAAGACCUUAGAAGUUGGAGAACCUAUAUUCUGGACUGACUCGACAAACGUGCUGUACUGGAUACGAAACCAAAGUCGUGAUUUCAAGCCGUUGGUAGCCAACCGAAUCGGCGAAAUUCGCAGAUCCACUAACCCACAGCAGUGGAGACAUAUACGUGGAGAGUCGAAUCCAGCAGACCUGCCAACAAGAAGAUUGUCAGCCACAGACCUAGCAAACAACGAAUUGUGGAAGAAGGGACCAGAAAUUCUACAACAAGACGAGUCAACAUGGCCCCCUCAAAUUCCCAACGAAGAAGUUCAGAGAAAUAUUGUCGAAGGCGAAAGACGAAAGGUUAACGUUACUCACACAACAAGGGACAGUUCAAACCAAAUUCUCAUUGAUCCAAAUCGUUUCUCG